rnacentral:rRNA from 1 species
CAGCCGCCGCGGUAAUACGUAGGUGGCAAGCGUUGUCCGGAAUUAUUGGGCGUAAAGCGCGCGCAGGCGGUUUCUUAAGUCUGAUGUGAAAGCCCCCGGCUUAACCGGGGAGGGUCAUUGGAAACUGGGAGACUUGAGUGCAGGAGAGGGAAGCGGAAUUCCAUGUGUAGCGGUGAAAUGCGUAGAGAUAUGGAGGAACACCAGUGGCGAAGGCGGCUUCCUGGCCUGUAACUGACGCUGAGGCGCGAAAGCGUGGGGAGCAAACAGGAUUAGAUGCCCUGUUAGUCCACGCCGUAAACGAUGAGUGCUAAGUGUUAGGGGGUUUCCACCCCUUAGUGCUGCAGCUAACGCAUUAAGCACUCCGCCUGGGGAGUACGGUCGCAAGACUGAAACUUAAAGGAAUUGGCGGG